AACAGCAUAGUGUAGUGGUUUUGAAUGCUCGACUACAACUCUGGAGACCAGGGUUCGAUUCCCAGCUCAGCCA